rnacentral:piRNA from 1 species
UGAUUAAUUCCGGCCGCUUUCUCUCAA